AUUGAACGCUGGCGGGAGGCCUAACACAUGCAAGUCGAGCGGAUGAAGGGAGCUUGCUCCUGGAUUCAGCGGCGGACGGGUGAGUAAUGCCUAGGAAUCUGCCUGGUAGUGGGGGAUAACGUCCGGAAACGGGCGCUAAUACCGCAUACGUCCUGAGGGAGAAAAUGGGGGAUCUUCGGACCUCACGCUAUCAGAUGAGCCUAGGUCGGAUUAGCUAGUUGGUGGGGUAAAGGCCUACCAAGGCGACGAUCCGUAACUGGUCUGAGAGGAUGAUCAGUCACACUGGAACUGAGACACGGUCCAGACUCCUACGGGAGGCAGCAGUGGGGAAUAUUGGACAAUGGGCGAAAGCCUGAUCCAGCCAUGCCGCGUGUGUGAAGAAGGUCUUCGGAUUGUAAAGCACUUUAAGUUGGGAGGAAGGGCAGUAAGUUAAUACCUUGCUGUUUUGACGUUACCAACAGAAUAAGCACCGGCUAACUUCGUG
rnacentral:rRNA from 1 species